GGCAUGAUAAAUGUUCAGGAGAAAAGUGUGACAACUUGUAUUCCACUUAAAACAUGGAGUUCGAUUUUGCCGAGCUGAAGUGGAGACUCACUCACACUCACUUUAUUCCCCUGGAGUGCGGCCCAGAUGAAUUAAUUCUGCAUGAAGAACCUACAUGAGGAACAUGUCCGUGCAAGCCUCAUUCUUUCAAGAACCCCACCACAGACUGUGUGCCUUCUUCUGUGAAAGUUGAGGAGAACUUCAGAAAAAGUUGAAGACAUUUCUGUAUAAAUAUGACUUUCGAACCUGAUAAAGAAGUAUGAGUGGACAUGAUUUUGGAUUGAUGAGCUGUAAUCUCUGCUCUGCAGGUGUCCACACACACACACACACACACACACACACACAC